GUGAGGAAUAUUGGACAAUGGGCGCAAGCCUGAUCCAGCCAUGCCGCGUGCAGGAAGACGCAUCUAUGGUGUGUAAACUGCUUUUGUACGGGAAGAAACACUCCCUCGUGAGGGAGCUUGACGGUACCGUAAGAAUAAGGAUCGGCUAACUCCGUGCCAGCAGCCGCGGUAAUACGGAGGAUCCAAGCGUUAUCCGGAAUCAUUGGGUUUAAAGGGUCCGUAGGCAGUUUAAUAAGUCAGUGGUGAAAGCCCAUCGCUCAACGAUGGAACGGCCAUUGAUACUGUUAGACUUGAAUUACAAGGAAGUAACUAGAAUAUGUAGUGUAGCGGUGAAAUGCUUAGAUAUUACAUGGAAUACCAAUUGCGAAGGCAGGUUACUACUUGUGGAUUGACGCUGAUGGACGAAAGCGUGGGGAGCGAACAGGAUUAGAUACCCGUGUAGUCC
rnacentral:rRNA from 1 species